GCUGACGAGUUCAAAAUAGGACGAAACGCACGUCC
rnacentral:hammerhead_ribozyme from 1 species